rnacentral:rRNA from 1 species
GAUGAACGCUAGCGGGAGGCUUAACACAUGCAAGUCGAGCGGGAGGGGUAGCAAUACCCCGAGAGCGGCGCACGGGUGCGUAACGCGUAUGCAACCUGCCUUAUACAAAGGGAUAGCCCAUGGAAACGUGGAUUAAUAUCUUAUAGGACUUAUGGAUCGCAUGGUUUAUAAGUUAAAACUACGGUGGUAUAAGAUGGGCAUGCGUCUGAUUAGGUAGUUGGUAGGGUAACGGCCUACCAAGCCGACGAUCAGUAGGGGUUCUGAGAGGAUUACCCCCCACACUGGUACUGAGACACGGACCAGACUCCUACGGGUGGCUG